GCCCUCACUUCAGCAGCACAUAUACUAAAAUUGGAAAGAUACAGACAAGAUUAUCAUGGUCCCUGUGCGAGGAUGACGUGCAAAUUUGUGAAGCAUUCCAUAUUUUU
ensembl:snRNA U6 U6 spliceosomal RNA